GUGGGCUCGGCUGAGGGGGAAGAUUCAGGCUGGGUUGGGCCGGUGGUUAGCUAGUCUUCCACUGAUUUCCUAGGCCCAGGUGAAGUAGGUUCUCAAUACGUGUGUUUUGACUGACUGACGAUGGCAAACGGCAGGUUGAGUAGGUAAGUGGGGAUGGAAGCAGAAAGUGAGGAGAUUUUGUCAGCAAAUAAAAACUGACUAGAAAUCUUAGAGGUGAACAGUUCUUAGUGGUGGGAAAACCCAAGCUGGGGCUAAAGUGUGAUGGAGUUGAAAGUGAGAGCAGUUGAGAAAUUUUGUGGUCCUCAUCAUGGGUGAUUCUGUUAUUGAGGAUUAUGGCCAAUGAUUGGGGAGAGUAACUGUGUCUCAAGUAUCUGAACAAAGUGUUUGGAGGUGACACAGACAUGAAAUAGAAAUGGAAAAGAGGAUGUAGGGAGCAUGAAGUGUGAAGUCCUGGCUCUGUUUUAAGGGGCAGUCUGGGCAAGUCCCACAUCCAUUCUGGACCUCUGUAUUCGAGUUAAUAAUGUUUUUCUACUUCCUUUUCAGAGUUGUUGGAAGCUUAUAUGAGAUACAGUGAUAUGUAUGUAAAAGUCACUUUGAAAGUUUAGAUAAUCUCUAAGGGCUGUCCUAGUUUUGAGAUCAUGCAACACAACUAUUCUAGUUAUUACAACAUAUCAAUGUUGUAGAGAUGUCAUAAAAUAUCUACGUAGGAUAAAGCCACAAUUUCACUUGAAAGAAAAAUACCUAAAACCAGUACUCUAGCACAAGUAGCCAAACAACCAUUAAGCUAAAUGACUUCUAUCUCUGAAAUUAAUAGGUCAACUUUGGGCAAGAUAAUUCUAAUAUUUUUUUUUUCUUUCAUAGAGCACAUGUUGGCACCUUUUGAAAGAUCCAGAAAUCUGCAUGUGGGACACAAAUCUUGGGCUCUAUUGCUGUAAAUGCACCUUCCACAAAUGGUUUUCUGUAAUACCCAUUUCUCAGGAGUGGUCAUUGUGGACAAAAGAAGAGAAUUGGAUCAAUGGGAGGCAUUACAAAGAGAAAGUUAAAAAGAAAGUUUGCACUUGGGAAAACAGUGUGGAGCCUCCUCAAAAGACUAAAAAAUAGUAGCACCAUAGGAUCCAGUCAUUCCACUUCUGGGUAUUUCCUCAAAGAAACUGAAGACACCAAUUUGAAAAGAUACAUGCACCCCCAUGUUUAUUGCAGCAUUAUUCCCAAUAGCCAAGAUACAAAAGCAACCUAAGUGUCCACCGAUAGAUAAAUGGACAAAGAAGAUGUGGUGUAUUUCUCUGAUGAAAUAUUAUUCAGCCAUAAAAAAGAAUGAAAUCUUGCCAUGUAGGACAACAUGGAUGCAACUAGAGGGUACUAUGUUAAGUGAAAUAAGUCAGACAAAGACAAAUACUGCCUCAUCUCACUUAUAUGUGGACUCUAAAAAACAAAACAAAUGGAUAAACAAAUACCAACAAACAAAAACAGACUUGUAAAUACAGAGAACAAACUGGUGGUUGCCAGAGGGGAAGGGGGUGGGGGGGAUGGACAAAAUAGGUGAAGGGGAUUAAGAGGUACAAACUUCCUGUUAUAAAAUAAAUAAGUCAUGAGGAUGACAAGUCCAGCAUAGGGAAUAUUGUCAAUAAUAUUGUAAGAACUUUGCAUGGUGGUUAGACUUAUGGUGAUCAUUUUGAAAUAUAUACAAAUGUUGAACCACUGUGUUGUAUACCUAAAACCAAUAUUAAAUGUCAACUGAACUAACAACAACAACAAAAAAACCUAAAAGGAAAAGUUGCUACUUUGGCCUUGAAUAUCAUAUCUAUUUCUUACGAGUGGGAAGGGAAUAUUAAAUUAGCCCAGUGGGGAAACUGGGAGCAUAAUGAGUUUAUUAUUUUUUCUGAAACAGUUGAGAUAUUCAGUCUGUUCAUCCUAGUCUCCUCAUCUGUAAGACGGUCAAAAUAUUUGGGGAGUGUUUUGGGGACUUUAUGCCUGGCCUCCAUAGAUUCUCCCUCUACUUUUCUGGGUUUUUCAGGUGUGUUUUAAUUUGUGGGAGCUGAAAGGGAUACUGAACACUGGUAACCAAGGCCUCUCAAAUGCCGUGACUGAGAAGGCAGUGGGGCAAGGUCGGGAGAGUGGGGUAUAGAGCCGGGUGCAGAGAGAGGGAGAAAGAGAAGAUACCAAGAAAUUUUACGAGCACUCUGACCUGGAAAGAAUCAGUUCGACUAGUAGUUUCAGUCUUUUUUUGCUCAUGUACUCCAUGAAAGAAUUCUGAAAGAUUCUUUUUGAGUUGACAUCUAAACUUUUUUAUCAUAAAUUUAAGUAGUUGCAAAGUAUGUAUUAGAUGAAGUACUGAAUAUCAUAUCAAUGAUUAAAAUAUAUUUUCAUCAAAACUUUGGAGCUGCAGAUUUAGCUCAUUAAAUUUAUGGAGAGUGUCCAUCAUAGAAAUUAAUUGGCAAAGCUAGUCCUUAUUGUCAACCCAUUCUGCCAAAUUGGACUUGCUUCAUGUCAGAAAAAAAAAAUCUCACUUCAUUUUUUAAUUCAGAGAAGUGUUAGCAUGCAACCCUUUGAAAUCUUCUUGCUCCUGAACUCUGACUCUUAAGAAGUGAAGGAAGGCGGUCUUACAUUCAUUACAUCCUAAAUAAACUAGACAGAAUAUAAAGUUAAAAAAAAAAAGUGAAGGAAGAAAAGAAGGAAGUGAGGGGAAGGAAGAAGGAACAAAAGAGGCUAACCAUGAGUUUUUCACCUGCCUUCCAUAUUCCUUUCUGAAGCUCACUUGCUCUUCUCUCAAAGGACUGUCCUUCAGGAAGAAUCCAUGAAAGUUUUGACACCCCAGGACAAUGCACCUGAGUAGGACCGAGGUGGGUGAAGGGUAUGCAUUUCUUGCAAAGUCGGAAAAGGACUACUGGAGAUAGAAAGAGUCCUUGUGGCAUGAUCUUAGACAAAUUAAUUUCAGGAAAGAGGACA